AGGGGCGGCUGCCGUCUGAGGCAUGGUGGGAGACAGCUCAGCUUGCUGGGGAUCAGGAGAGGCCUAGAUGGCAGACUCUUUAAGAAGAUAUGAGCCAGACAGGAAACGAAGGGAAAGGCAUUGUCAGGGGUGGAAUAGUACGGACCACGGCGGGGGGCAGAGCAGAGCCUUUUCGGGAAAUUGUGUGUUCUGUGCGGAUGGAGUGAGGGAAAGUGAGGGGGAAGGCGUGUGGGAGAGGCGCAUCUCAUCCUGGCCACCUGCCCACGGAGGCCCUGAAUGCCAGGCCUCUAUGCCAGGGCUGCGGGCAACCAUGGAAAGGCCUUAAGCAGGCGUGAGAUGUGGUCAUGCUCGCGUUUGAAAAAGCCCCCUCUGGCCGCGAGAGCGGCGUGCUGAGAGCAGUUAGGAGGUGCCAGUCGGACGGAGCGGAGAGCCAGCUCACUGCGGAAGAAUUCUGUGACGAGUGCCCUGAGCAGCUGGGACCAGUGGUGCAGCUGUCCUGGCCCGGGUCAAACGGUUCUGCUGCAGUGGAGCCGGUUUGGCUGGAGACGUGAGCAGGUGCGAGAAGAAGCAGAUGAGGCUGCUGUAAACAUGUCAUCGGCAUCCAGCUCUCCCAGUCUGAGGGUCUGGGCGCCACUCUUGGUCCUGAUGUCAAGCCCAGGAGCCGGUGCCUUCCCCCAGACCUGCCCUUUCCAGUGGGCUCCAUCUCUGCCAGCUGGCUCCUCAGAGAGGUGUAAAUAACCUGGAGGGUGGCCGAGGCUUGGGCCUCACCAGCAUGUAUUCUAAUGCCAGAAUGUCACGCUGCCCUGCAGCCCCCGGGGUGGGAGGGUAGGGAGCGGGUCUGCGGGUGGGCGCUGUCUGAGGCUCCUGGACCACGGAUCUGACACCCCGCCGGUCUGGACGACACACUGGGGUAGCCUUCUCUCGGGGCUCCGUGGAGCUGUGUUCCAAGGGUCCCCCGUGGGCGUGGGCUGGCGCUGGGGAAGGGAAGGCCGUGCUGUUGGCCCUUGGCUGGAGGGAGGCAGGGCAACAGGACCACUGGCGCCACUGUCCUCACCAAACACAGGGCCCUGAAGGCUGGAGUGAGUCACAGGUUCAGGCCGGGCUGCUAUCCUGGCUCCAUCUGAGGAUGGGAGGGUGGUCUGAGGGAAAACCCAGGUGGCUUCUCUGGAGGUAGUGGGUGGGGACAGGGGGAAGGGCCAAAGAUGAGCAGAACAGGCCCUCAGAUGGCUCCAGGGCCAGUGAAGUCAUUCUUUCUCCUGCCUUCUCAAGAUGACAGGGUGCCCUCCUGAUGCAAGCUCCUUCUUAACGAAACAGACCAGAAUGUCUGGACUCCCUCCCUCCCUCCCUCCCCUCCUUCAACAAACAGCCACUGAGGAGGAAGAGGAGCAGGCCCCGGGCUGGUGGGGGAGGGAGGGCAUGGAUGCACAAAUGGUUAAUUAGCAUCAAACGGUCAACAUCACGGCAUGCAGAGGUUCAGGGGCAGAGGUGUUGGGGCUGAGAGAGAGCGCUUGGCUCUGCUGGGCUGUGACAGGGAGGGCUUCGCAGAGGAGGUGGCGUUUCUUAAAGAAAGGGUAGUGACUGGCUGCAAGGAGAGAAUGGUCAAGGACGUCCCAGGCAGAGGGCAGGUGGCACACGAGGGCUAAGGUGACUGAAGAAGGCACGAAGGAGUGACUCGCAGAGUGUGGUGGGUGCCAGGACAGAAAUAAGCGGGGGCAAGUGCCUUAGAUGGGGGGCAGUCACCAACCCGUCAUCCGGACCUUGGCCUAAUGUAAAAAGUGCGGAAUCCGACGGGCCUGAGUUCCAGUCCAGAUUUUACCAUUUAACAGCUGCCGAGCUUUAGCUGGCCACUUACUAGCCCCGAGCCUCAGUUUCCUCAUCUGUACAAUGGGAUCACUGUGACUCCGGGGUGUCUGUAAGGAUCAGAAGUGGCAGCACUUUGCAGAAUGGAAAUAGCUCUGCAAACACGGGGCGUCUUUGGAGCAGGCCCUCAGCAGCAGCCCACGUCCGCAUUGACCUUUUGGGGUGCUACUUCCUGGAGAAUGGCCACAGAAGGCUGCGCUCACCCAGUUAGGUCAGUGUUCACGCAGACUGUUACCAUACCCUCUGUGGGGUCACUUUGCUUGGGACCAGCUGCUUCCUGCCCAGGGUUUUGGGGGCCUGCUGUGGGGAACUCGCAGGCAAGGGGACCGAAGCCUGAACCGCAGCCGAAGAAUGUUCUAGUGUGACUCCUGGGCCUUUGGGCCAUGAAUGCUGGGACAGCCAGGCAUGAGGGGGUAGGGCCGGCGAAUACAAGUGGGACAGGGACCCUGCGGCAACAUAGGACAACGGGGCAGCAGCUGAGUGAGGCCGGGAGUGGGACCACGAGGAUGGGAGGAGGAGGACGGUGUGAAACAGACGAGCGAGGCGGCCGUGCUCCCUGAACCGCCCUCGCCUCCGCCCCCCGCCCCCUGUCCCAGCACCCUCAGCUUUGGGGCUGCCUGAGGAGGUGAGACUGGCGGGGAGGAAGGAAAGGGCCUUUUUAGCUUUGGGCACCUGCUGAUGGACCCCCUCGGGCCUGCCUGCCACGUGCCGUAUUAUGGUACCAGACCCCUGGAGUCGCCCCGACGCAGCUGGGGCGGUGUUCCUGGUGCUCUGUUCUCAGCAGUUCUUCGCCAGAGAGUGCGGCCGCAGCUGGCUGCUGAGCUCAGGUCCCCACAGGGCGUAGGCAUCACUCGGGGCCAGGUGGUCCUCAGCACCUGUCCUGGCUCUCAAACCCUCUCUAAGUCCCUGGUCUGCUCCGGCAGCUCUCGUGGUCCCUGUGAGUAACGCUGUGGUGCCAGGCCAGGGCCGUGCCCAGUGACUCAGCUGGGCCCUCUUCUUUCCACUAAGUAGGUGCCAUAAAUAUUUGUUGAAUUAAACUCUUGCCUCUGGUUGGGAUUUUCCACUGCAGCCAGAUAGCUGCUCACAGCCCUGCCGUGGGCCUAGGCCACAUCCGCGUCUGCCUGCGUGUAAACCGUUCCUUCUCUCCUCUGCGUAUUCGGUUCCUUCUCAGACACCUUUCAAACUGCUCCUCAAAACCUCUGUCUCCUGGAAGUCUUCUUCCCCAGGUGUCCAGCCUCCUCCCCGCGGGACCCUAGCCUGCCCGAGACCUCUGGCAGCUGUACCCGGUGUGUGCUUAGUGACCUCUGCUUCCUGUUCCUUCAUGGUUUGUCCUUCUUCUGUGUGGGUCUCAGUGGCAUGACAGGAGAACGGGCCCCCAAACCAGGACUGUCAAGAGUCCUGUUUGUGUGUGCCAGCGUGCGACAGAAAGGCUGCCUCCUGUGGGCGGGCAGAGGGCCAAGGCCCAGCUAAGCCACAUGAGACCAAGACUGCAGUGUGCAGAGAAAGAAGAUCUCUCGUAGGCCUGGCGACCACACUCCCUGGCCGCCGUGUGCGGGUCUGACUCUCGCCUGUCGCCCUGGACUCGUUAUUUAAGAGCACUGUUGGCCAUGCGGCUCCCUGAUCGGAGGGCCUUUCAUGGGUCCCCAGGGUGUGGGGAACCAAGGACUGAGGCGGAUUCAUGAAGCACACAGGUAGCAGGACAGACCACAGUUUAAAGUCUGCAGUGUGGUUUGCAAGGAAAUGUGUGGCAGGCGUGUGAGCACCAAAGAAGGUUGGGUAAGAGAGGGAGAGAGCUUUGCAAGCCAUGAAGUUCCUCAGUGUUCAUAGUAACAGCCAACCCUUGUAGGGUAUGGUUUACCACACUACUAAGCAACCCCGUGAUGGAGAUCGCAUUAUUGCUUCCAUCUUAUAGGUGCAGAAACCGAGGCACAGAGCGGUUAAGUGGCUUACCAAAGGUCACAUCACGAGAAAGCCAGGUUUUAAAACCUGGGCCGGGUUCUCGACCCCUGCGUUAUGGUGCCUCACCUCACAUCCGACGCUUCAGUGAUAUCUACCACAGAGAGUUUGUGAAGACAAAGUAAGGCCACGGGUGUGAGUUUGCUUUGUGAGCUAGAAACAUUUUUACAAACAUUGGAAAGUAUUUUGGAAAUAGCUAACUUGUGACAGACUGUGGAGAUACAGUAAAAAAUGAAAGUAUUUGCAAAUUCCCCUCAAAUCCAUUAUCUCGAAACUAAUCGUAAAGUGAGAUUAUGAAUUUUUUCCCCUUCUUUCUCUUUUUUUCCACAUGACUAAAUUGUAAUAAAAUUGCUUUGAUAA